rnacentral:rRNA from 1 species
AAGGCGAGCGAGGCCAAGUUCUGGUAGAUCGUAGGGAUUGUCGCUGGCCUUUGGAAACGAAGGCAUGUGCACGUUCCGAGUUCUCCUUGGACCUCGUCUUUCCUUUCCUUUGGACGACCUUUUUUUCACACCUGUGCACCCAUUGUAGGUCCCGCAAGGGAUCUAUGUCUUUAUCUACCCCAAACGUAUGUCCAGAAUGUCAUUAAUACUUGUCGACCGGUCUGGCUAACGCCUCGUCGGCGACGGUAUAUAAAAAAUAAUACAACUUUCAGCAACGGAUCUCUUGGCUCUCGCAUCGAUGAAGAACGCAGCGAAUUGCGAUACGUAAUGUGAAUUGCAGAUUUUCAGUGAAUCAUCGAAUCUUUGAACGCACCUUGCGCUCCUUGGUAUUCCGAGGAGCAUGCCUGUUUGAGUGUCAUUGAAUUCUCAACCAUCUUUCGAUUGAUUUCGAAGGGUGGCUUGGAUUUUGGGAGUUGCCGGCUGACCUUUGGGACGGGUCGGCUCUCCUUAAAAGCAUUAGCGAAAGGUGGCAAGCCCUGCAUGCAUGGCCUUCGACGUGAUAAUGAUCGUCGUGGCUGGAGUGCGAGGCAUAGACGUCCCUUUGCUUCUAAACAUUCGUACUGGGGACUUUGCUUCGGCGGAGGACCCUUUACUUUCUUGACGCUUGACC